UGAGAGCGGCGGACGGGUGAGUAAUGCCUAGGAAUCUGCCUGGUAGUGGGGGAUAACGUUCGGAAACGGACGCUAAUACCGCAUACGUCCUACGGGAGAAAGCAGGGGACCUUCGGGCCUUGCGCUAUCAGAUGAGCCUAGGUCGGAUUAGCUAGUUGGUGGGGUAAUGGCUCACCAAGGCGACGAUCCGUAACUGGUCUGAGAGGAUGAUCAGUCACACUGGAACUGAGACACGGUCCAGACUCCUACGGGAGGCAGCAGUGGGGAAUAUUGGACAAUGGGCGAAAGCCUGAUCCAGCCAUGCCGCGUGUGUGAAGAAGGUCUUCGGAUUGUAAAGCACUUUAAGUUGGGAGGAAGGGCAGUUGCCUAAUACGUAACUGUUUUGACGUUACCGACAGAAUAAGCACCGGCUAACUCUGUGCCAGCAGCCGCGGUAAUACAGAGGGUGCAAGCGUUAAUCGGAAUUACUGGGCGUAAAGCGCGCGUAGGUGGUUUGUUAAGUUGGAUGUGAAAUCCCCGGGCUCAACCUGGGAACUGCAUUCAAAACUGACUGACUAGAGUAUGGUAGAGGGUGGUGGAAUUUCCUGUGUAGCGGUGAAAUGCGUAGAUAUAGGAAGGAACACCAGUGGCGAAGGCGACCACCUGGACUGAUACUGACACUGACGUGCGAAAGCGUGGGGAGCAAACAGGAUUAGAUACCCUGGUAGUCCACGCC
rnacentral:rRNA from 1 species